rnacentral:rRNA from 1 species
UACGGGGGGUGCAAGCGUUAUCCGGAAUUAUUGGGCGUAAAGGGUCCGUAGGCGGUAGAUUAAGUCGGGUGUUAAAGGCUCUGGCUCAACCAGAGAGAUAUGCUCGAAACUAAUUUACUAGAGUAUUUGAGGGGUACACGGAAUUCUGUAUGUAGGGGUAAAAUCCGUAGAUAUACAGAGGAACACCAAAAGCGAAGGCAGUGUACUGGCAAAUUACUGACGCUGAGGGACGAAAGCGUGGGGAGCGAACGGG